AGAGUUUGAUCCUGGCUCAGGAUGAACGCUGGCGGCGUGCCUAAUACAUGCAAGUCGAGCGAACCAUUCGGUGGUGAGCGGCGAACGGGUGAGUAACACGUAGGUGAUCUGCCCAUCAGACGGGGACAACGAUUGGAAACGAUCGCUAAUACCGGAUAGGACGAAAGUUUAAAGGUGCUUCUGGCACCGCUGAUGGAUGAGCCUGCGGCGCAUUAGCUAGUUGGUAGGGUAAAGGCCUACCAAGGCGACGAUGCGUAGCCGACCUGAGAGGGUGAACGGCCACACUGGGACUGAGACACGGCCCAGACUCCUACGGGAGGCAGCAGUAGGGAAUCUUCGGCAAUGGGCGAAAGCCUGACCGAGCAACGCCGCGUGAAUGAUGAAGGCCUUCGGGUUGUAAAAAUUCUGUUAUAAGGGAAGAACGACUUUAGUAGGAAAUGGCUGGAGUGUGACGGUACCUUAUGAGAAAGCCACGGCUAACUACGUG
rnacentral:rRNA from 1 species